AGCUUAAUGGUAGAGCACUUGCUUUCCAUGUACAAGGCCCUGGGUUCAAUUCCCAG
rnacentral:tRNA from 1 species